rnacentral:tRNA from 1 species
UAUUUUUAAUUGACAUA